rnacentral:lncRNA from 1 species
UCUGCUCGAUUGGUCUUGGUCUACCAUCUGGUGGAUCGAUCGGUUGCAAUUGCGCUGAUUCUUUCGUUCGUCUGGCCGUUAACUCGUGAUUGCGUAAGAUGACGCGAGCGGUUGCGCUGCGCUGUAGACGUAGCUUGAUCGAUCCGUUUUGCCUGACGAAGUUGCUUUUGCAUUAGCUUGAAUCCAGUCAGGAGAAAAUGUAAUCAUCUGAGCACAUACAACGUGGUGCUUGCCUGAGAUUGCCUGGCGACGGGAAUUCUCCUAGAAGACACGUGGAAUUGUCGAUCGAAGGGGUAGGAUUGAGAUGGUUCUGAUGUUCACUGGGAAGAUUAUUUUGGAUGCAAUUGUUUCACCUGUUUGCACUCUGUUGCAGCUCACCUCCAUUUAUUAUGGGUCAAAUUUACAGCCAAGAACAUGACGACCCAGUUUUAUAUCUUAUUUGUUUUGUCCGUUUCAUUUAGUUCUUAAUUACUAAGCUGUGUUCGGAUGCCUGUAUUGGAGACCUCCAUAUUGAAUUGGUUUCAUUUCCAAUUUGGAGCGGAAGCUGUAAUGGACAUGAAUACAAAUUCACAUGUUUGGAUGCUCACCGAAUUGGGCCAUGGAAUCUCAAUACUAAAUCCUGUUCGGUUGACAUGCUAUGGAAUUGCAUAUGCUUUGUGUUUUAUGCAUCAAAUCAAAAUCUGAACAAUUUGUGAACACCUUAAGUUAGCCUCCUAGGGUUCCCCUUAUCAACAACACCUGCAAAAAAUGAACAUGUGGUUACUAAAUCAUGGGAACGGAACAAGGGAAGAACAGAACAUGUUGAACAUGGACAGCAGGGGAAGAACAAAACAAGGGAAGAGAAAGAAGGGGAUCCAGGGAGGGGAAUAAGAAGAUGGAAGAGGAAGGGAAAGAAGAGGGCAGAGGAGAAGAGGGCAGAGGAGAAGGGGAAGAAGAUAAGUGGUGGAGGGGCUGCGCCGACCAGCAAGGUGGUCGAGAUGUAGGGCGCGCCGCCGGGCAGCAAGAUGACCGGGAUGGAGGCGGUUGAGCCGGCCAGCAAGAUGGAACGGGCGGAGGUCGCGCUGGCCAGCGAGAUGGAAGGGGUGGAGGUCGCGCCGGCCAUCGACACAGGUCAGAUGUAGGAGCUGCGCCGCCUCUCGCGGCAGAGGAAGGAGCUCUGCGGGGGAGGGAAAGGGGCGGCGGCCGCGAGGGCUUGUAAAUAAUUUAAAAUGAAGGAGGGAAGUUAGGGACUGUUAGUGGGCGGAUAGUAGAUUGUUUCUGUUGGUAUUUACUGUAGAUAUAAAUAAUAUAAAAUUAAUUUUAUUUCACCAUCAAUUUGUUUGUAUGCAAUUACUAUAAAUGUAUGCAGUAGCUCAUCAAUUUCCAAACUAAUUUAAGUCGUUUUAGCCAUAAUCAUAUGGGUAGAAAGAAGGAAAGUUAGAGUAUUGUAGCUUCUCUAACUUUCCUUCUCAAUGUUAGAGGAUCCGGUUCCGAGCGAGACCUGUCUCCAAAGUGGUAUGUUUUGCGGGACUGGUCAAUUCGACCCAAAUCGGAGGCUCACACCUCUGUAUCGCGGGAGGACUGCGCGCGCGGAGGCUAAUUCGGCUCUGUAUUAUGUCCGUUUCGGUUCGCUCGAUUCGAUAUACAUCCGAAUGUCUGAAUUGGCAGCUAGUCAAUACCAUAUCCAAUUCAAAGGGCCUAAUUCAGACAUCCUAACGCAGUGUAAAUCUAAAAAAAUAGUUCUUAAUUAAUUACUAGUAUAAAACAAUAAUAUGCAGAAGUCAACACGAUACUUGACAAGCAUAUUAAUUUUUGCCCAAGGGUAAUGGCUGGCAUGAGUUUUGCCCAUAAGUUCAUGUAUCAUUACUAACGAUUAUUGUUUAUUUAGACAUUGCACAAUUUUGGAAUAAUUCGUACGAGUAGUCAAAGUAGCUCAUAACUUUGUUGGUAAUAAUAGUGUUUUUUUUCUUCGAGAGUAUGCAAAUUGCGUACCAUAUUUUUAUAGAAGGCAGAGAAAAAUUGUGGAAAACGAGCUGUGGGUUUGCAAAAAAAAAUUGUUAAUGCUGCAGCACUAUUGGAUAUAAUUUGCGAUUUUUCUUUCGUUGCCUUUCAAGUCAUCUGGUGAUAUGGUUUCUGCAGAAGGCGACGAUGUCAACCCCUGCAAGGAAGAGGCUGAUGAGGGAUUUCAAACGACUGAUGCAGGAUCCUCCUGCGGGCAUAAGUGGCACACCUCAGGAUAACAAUAUAAUGCUGUGGAAUGCUGUAAUUUUUGGGUAAGACACCGGACUUCAUGAUUCUAUAUUUUAUACCUACUUUAUAUAGGUUAGUCACACUGAAGUAUCAUCUCCUUAUGUUGUGUAUCAUCUCCUUAUGUUGUGUUUGUCUUGUUUUUCAGUCCUGAUGAUACUCCCUGGGAUGGUGGUAAGUUUAUUUAAUAGCCUUUAAGUUUGUUAGAGAUUGCGGUUGGGAGAAUAAUCACAAACUCAUGAGCAUGUUAUCAUGCAUUCUACUUCCUGUGCCAAUAAGAACCUUACCAUUUACUUACUGUGCCAAUAAGAACCUUACCAUUUACUGCCUGUGCCAAUAAGAACCUUACCAUUUACUGCCUGUGCCAAUAAGAACCCAAAAUCGACGUGGCUACGCUUCACUUAUUUCUUCAUGCUGCUCUAUUGAGCUCUUCAAAACAUCUGGUUCAUCUGCAUGUUAUUUUCUCUUGUUGAUGUUCAGCCUAGGAACUUGUAGCAAACAUUUUACAUCUUUACCAGAUAUCUUUAGUUAUUUUUCAUGUCAAAUUUACAUUCAAACUCUUUAUAUGUUUUACGUCUACUAGUUCACUGAAGCAAUGCCAUUCCAAAUUUCUCUCGAUGUCACAGUUUGGGGUGUAAACAUUUGAUAAAGUAGUUUGAUAAUGUUUUAAAUACUUGUAAAUGACAGUGCAUUCUAAGUUUUCUAACUGAUGGAUUAAUUAUUUAAAUGUUAAACUCAUCUGUUAUUUAGGGUUUGUUAUUUAUGUUCCUUUUCUGGUCCUUGCUUGUCAUAUUUCUAAUGUUUUUUCACUAAAUUUUGAGCCUUUUGUUUAUAACUGAACCAGUAUUGAAUUCUCAGGUCGAGUCAUCUAGUCAUAUAUGAUAUUUGUUCAUGGAUUUUGUAGUUUUUUGAAACGAAAUAUGUAUUGGUUUCAUGUUACCAGUAAAGCCUUUUGUGCUUACUAUGUCAGGUACGUUCAAGCUGACACUUCAGUUUACUGAAGAUUAUCCUAAUAAGCCACCUACAGUGCGGUUUGUUUCUCGAAUGUUUCAUCCCAAUAGUAAGCCUUUUGUGCCCUUGUUUAAUACUGAUUGUGUGGGUUAUCUCCUUCUUUAAGUCUAUGAUCUUACCAAAGUAUUGAUGUAGCACUCCAAAGUCAAUAAAGAGAACAUAUGAAAUGCGAACUUGCAACAAAAUAGGUUAACAGGAACUACUAAUCCUAGCCUUUUAAUUUGAUCGAAAUGAUUUACAUUAAACACCAAAAGCUAGCAUCACUUUCAUCCAAAGUUGAUCUAGUUGCUGAGAUUUAAGUUUUCGUUCUCCUAUUUUAAGGUCUGUUCCUACCUGCUACUUGCUGAAAUCUUCAAUUGUGGUUCUAUAUGCUGCAUUGUAGUGGUUUCAGAACACUGAAUGUGAUAGCGAUUGUACAGAUUCAAGUAAUGCUUCUUUGAGUUGAUAAAUUUGCCUUUCUCUUUUCUUGUGUCGGUAUUAGUGACGAUUAGUUUACUAUAAUUAGAAUUCUAGAUGGUGACCAAUUGCCGUGCAGCCUUUACAGCAUAUUUGAGAGUACAUAGUGUUUAAAGUGACCCUUUUUUUUGCGUCUUUUGUAAUUAUUCUCUUGUUGCAAGAACCUUAUAGUGGCAUUAUGUUUUCGCUCCCAUUCAUUUUAUUUCCUAAAUAUUGUUUUAUUGCAAGCAGUUUAUGCAGAUGGAAGCAUAUGUUUAGAUAUUCUCCAAAACCAGUGGAGCCCGAUAUAUGAUGUAGCUGCUAUAUUGACAUCCAUUCAGGUAGAUGUCACCCUAUCAUUAGUUUAGUCAAUUCUUGCUAGCGCUAGUUCUCGCAACAUGCUGCUUACAACUUGAAGUUUUAUCGUGAAAUAUGACGAGUAAACCCACCCAACAAGGAUUCUUUAAUUCUCACCAACUUGACUGAUACUUCUUUGAUAUUCAUGUGAAUUGUUCCGUGUAGAAACUACUACUCCCUCCUGUCUGGUGUGUAGGGCUCCUAUUGAAAAUUUAUUUGUUCCGAAACUACUCAGGAAUUUAGCCCGCAAUCAUUAAUUAGACUAAUUAAUAGGCAGAGCUGGCACUCUCUCUUCCCCUAGAAUAACUCCUGGGCGCACCCGAGUCCAUUUUUUCCGGUGAUGUAAAACAGUUUCACUCAUGCACAUGUGAAAAGGAAUCUAUAUGUAUCUCUUGCCUCCUCUUCCUGAUUGCAUUCGCAUGGAUCGCUCGCCUCUUCUUCCCAAAUGCUGAAACGCUCGCAUCCUCUACGUAUAAAAGCAAUGCCGGUGGCCAUGGCCAACAACACCGGCGGUGAUGGAAGGAGAAGCAGAGGGAUGGAGUUGGCCGGGUGGUGCAAGAUGGAUCAAGAAAGUCGAUACUGUUGUUGAGAAUUGGGUGAAGUCUUAUGGAGAUUGGAGAUGCCGUGUUGGAGGAGGGCCAAGCCAUGGUUGAAGAGGAGGUUCAUGCCGUGGUGGAGAUGGAGGGCUAUGCCAUGAUCAAAACACAAUCUCAAACUUAGAUAGAAUUACCCAUUUUCAUGCAUACAUAACCUAAUUAGCCUCGGUAUCUGGCACAAACUUCACAUCCUCUUCAUCAUCUACAUAAUUGCAGGGGUUGCGACCGCAAGCAAUGCAUAUGCCAUCUUUAUCAAGCCCCACCGCAGUUGAACAAUCCUUGCGCCAAUAGUUGAGAGGAAGAAGAGGGUUGUCGCACACGUCUCAACGAUGCAAGUCCUUUGACGCCGAGAGCCUGCAUCCAUAGCAAAGAAAAAUCGAGUGCUCCCCGCACACCACACUUGUUGCGCAACGGGGCGAAUAUGCGAGCCUCACAUGUACUCCCUCCGUUCCUAAAUAUAAGUCUUUGGAGAGAUUUCACUAUAGACCACAUACGGAGCAAAAUGAGUGAAUCUACACUCUAAAAUGUAUCUAUAUACAUCCGUAUGUGGUCCAUAGUGGAAUCUCUACAAAGACUUAUAUAUUUAGGAACGGAGGGAGUAGAAGAGAGCACGGGGAUGGGUUCGGAGGGCACCAAGCGAGUGGUGCGGAUGACUUCAAUUCGGGCAAACAACUCGUCCAUGCGUGCACGACGACGAUCAUAAUCAGCCAACAUCGUGCACGACGACGCUCGAUGACAUUGGCAUCAUCAACCUUGGCUUGGCCCUCCUCCACCACGACAUGGCCAACCUCUUCCCCCAUGACUUGGACCUCCUCUUCCACCACGCCUUGGCCGUCCUCGUCCACCACGGCAUCUACCUCCACAUCCACCACAGCAUGGACUUCCACCAUGGCAUGACCCUCCAUCUCCACAACGGCAUGAACCUCCUCUUCGGCCACGGCUUGGCCCUCCUCCAACACGGCAUCUCCAAUUUCCAUAGACUCCACCCAAUUCUCAACAACAGUGACUUUCUCGAUCCAUUUUGCAUCACCCGGUCAAGUCCAUCCCUCUCCUUCUCCUUCCAUCACCGCCGGUGUCGCUUUUAUAUGUAGAGGAUGCGAGCGUUUUAGCUUUUGGGAACAAGAGGCGAGCGAUCCAUGAGAAUUCAACCAGGAAGAGGUGAGCGAUCCAGGCAGAUUCAUUUUCACAUGUGCAUGCGUGAACCCGUUUUACACCACCGGAAAAAAAAUGACUCGAGUGCGCCCAGGAGUAUUCUAGGGGGAGAGAGAGCGCCAGCUAUGCUGAUUAAUUAGGCUAAUUAAUGAUUGUGAGGCCUUACUCCUGAGCAGUUUCGGAACAAAUAGAUUUUCACUAUGAGCCCUACACACCGGACCUGAGGGAGUAUGUUUUAAGUCUUGAUUUAGGGAACAGUACAUAUCAGGGAAAUAAUCCAGAAAACAGUUACCAAUAGUAGAUCGCUACCCAUUCCCUGUUGACGUAGCUGGUUAUGAACAGUGAAUGGAGAUGGUAAACAAUUCAUAUCAAAAUUUAUCUGACCGUCUGCUUAUAGGCUUGCUGUACAAUGUACAGCCAUGAUGGUGAAAUAUAAGUAUCUGAAAAAGAAGAACAUAACCAUACGUACCAGUCCUUGUACCUGCUUUUGUUGCUUCAGUGAGAGUGACUUAGAUGCAGCAGAUACUAAACAACAAAUGUGAAAAUCACUAGUCAUUUUUAUCUGUCAAGCAAUCCAGUGUAUCUUGCUAUAUUGGCAAAGUUGUUGUGUAUCUGACCUGGCAUUGAAUAAUUACAGUCACUGCUUUGCGACCCAAACCCAAAUUCACCUGCCAACUCAGAAGCGGCCCGCCUAUUCAGCGAGAACAAGCGGGAGUACAACCGUAAAGUACGUGAGGUCGUGGAGCAAAGCUGGACUGCAGACUAAAGUCGCUGCAUCCAGUUGUGAUGCCAGCUAAUUGCCCGUUAGCGCCUUGAGUCCUAUGUACUGAACUGCUUGCAAGGUAAUUAAAAUGUUACAUCAUGCUUGUUGUCGUGUAUGUUGUUGGGAGUGACAUUUUUAGACGCUCAGGAUGGAGAUUAUUGUAUCCAGUCUACAUAUAACAUACCAUGCUGCCUUUGAAUCAGAUCGAGCACAAUAUGGAUUUGCUAUAUGUUAGCUCUGUUGUACUGAAUGACACUGCUGAGCAUAAGUUCUUUCAAGGAAGUCUCUUUUUAGCUACCAGAGGAAUUGCUCAGAGCCUCAGUCAGAGUAACAUCAUUUGAUCUUCCAAACAUGGCAGCCAAGAGGCGCGGGCACCUUCUCUUACGUUGUGGAAACCGCGACUGCUUUACUAGAGUUUAUUUCUUGAGACUAUUGCGGUAGGUGUUGAGAAAAUAGCGCCUUCAGUUCGUUUGUCUAAGCCGGGUAGAUGGUCAAUGUGAGUGCUGCUUAAGAACCCGAGCUUGAGCUUCUCUGGGUGUGGAAAGAUGCAAAGCAUUACAAACAAAAAGAAAAGGAGGCAAACAAUUGAAGUACUGGAAUGAAGUUCUAUGUUUGCUGAACAGUUCUUGUGACUUGCCUUCGGGUUAGUCAUUUCGAACAAUGUAGGCAGAGUUGGACGAGAGCCAGUUCGGCUCUCAGGCUAGGCAGCUUCCAAAAAUCUGAUGUCAGAUUUUUAAGCAUGGAAAAUUGAACAUUUUUUAGCUAUAAGUUGCCACACUUGCUAAAUGAAAUUGUCAUCCUCAUGACAACAUAAUUUGCCCAUCUAGGACGGCUUAAAAAUCCAACAUUCGACUUGUAGCGAACCAACCUGUGGUUAUCAAACGCCAAUCCAUACAAAUCCAAACAAGAUCAAUUCCUUCGGAUCCAAACAUAACCUGAGUUUCCAUACAAAUCCCAUCACCUUUUUUCUAAUAAAAUAUCCCAUUGCUUUUUUUCUCAACAAAAGAAACGGAAACAAAAUAGGGACCAACUUCCACAUGAGUACUCCCUCCCUUUUUGUAUACAAAGCCAUUAUUCUAUUUUUCAGAUAACAAAAAAAAAA